GAAUCCCGUCUUUGGCACGGAUGCACCAGGGCUUUUGUGAUGCGCUCUCGAAGAGUCGAGUUGUUUGGGAAUGCAGCUCAAAAUGGGUGGUGAACUCCAUCUAAAGCUAAAUAUUGGCGAGAGACCGAUAGCGAACAAGUACCGUGAGGGAAAGAUGAAAAGCACUUUGGAAAGAGAGUGAAACAGUACGUGAAAUUGUUGAAAGGGAAACGCUUGAAGUCAGUCGCGUCGACCGAGACUCAGCCUUGCCUCGGCUCGGUGUACUUCUCGGCCGACGGGUCAGCAUCAAUUUUGCCCCUCGGAUAAUGGCGAGAGAAAGGUGGCACCCUCACGGGUGUGUUAUAGUCUCCCGUCGGAUGCGAGGGUCGGGAUUGAGGAACUCGGCACGUACCGUGCUUAGGAUGUUGGCAUAAUGGCUUUAAACGACCCGUCUUGAAACACGGACCAAGGAGUCUAACAUGCCCGCGAGUGUUCGGGUGGAAAACCCGUGCGCGUAAUGAAAGUAAAAGUUGGGACCCCUGUCGUGGGGGGCACCGACGCCCGGACCAGACCUUCUGUGACGGAUCUGCGGUAGAGCGUGCAUGUUGGGACCCGAAAGAUGGUGAACUAUGCCUGAAUAGGGUGAAGCCAGAGGAAACUCUGGUGGAGGCUCGUAGCGAUUCUGACGUGCAAAUCGAUCGUCAAAUUUGGGUAUAGGGGCGAAAGACUAAUCGAACCAUCUAGUAGCUGGUUCCUGC
rnacentral:rRNA from 1 species